UCAGGACGAACGCUGGCGGCGUGCCUAAUACAUGCAAGUCGAACGGUCUUUUCUAUGGAAGCUUGCUUCCACUGAGAAGAUAGUGGCGAACGGGUGAGUAACACGUGGGUAACCUGCCCAUAAGAGGGGGAUAACAUCCGGAAACGGGUGCUAAUACCGCAUAGUUUUCUUGAUCGCAUGAUUGAGAAAGGAAAGACGGCCUUUGUGCUGUCGCUUAUGGAUGGACCCGCGGCGUAUUAGUUAGUUGGUGAGGUAACGGCUCACCAAGACGAUGAUACGUAGCCGACCUGAGAGGGUGAUCGGCCACAUUGGGACUGAGACACGGCCCAAACUCCUACGGGAGGCAGCAGUAGGGAAUCUUCCGCAAUGGACGAAAGUCUGACGGAGCAACGCCGCGUGAGUGAAGAAAAGGGUUUUCGGAUCGUAAAACUCUGUUGUCAGAGAAGAACAAGUUGGAGAGUAACUGCUCCAGCCUUGACGGUAUCUGACCAGAAAGCCACGGCUAACUACGUGCCAGCAGCGGC
rnacentral:rRNA from 1 species